CUCCCCGGUCUUCUUCUUACUGUUCCUCCAAACGAGCUCGGAAGUCUCAUCUUCGAGGUCCUCAACCUCGAUAGGAGCAGAGGUCGAGGCCGGCUUAGCCCUCUUCUUGGGCACAGGGCAAGCUCCGCCGGCUUCGGCUGCCCUUUUCUUGUAUCUGACAAGGAGGGCCUCGUUACUGGUCACCAUUCCUCCAAUGUCUUAAAAGAAGAAAGGACUCAAGUAUCAGAUCGACCUAAAAAAAAAGGAGAGGAAAAAGAAUAAGAGAAAAUAAGUAAAACGAGGGACAACGAAAUAAGGGAGUGAAGGGUUCUAGCAUGCUAUAAUGGGCAGCGGAAGCUAGGAAUUUUAAAAAUUUCUUGAUAAAGUUCCUUAACAUAAAACCCUUAUAAGCCAAGAUCACCUUAAUGGAAGCAAUCAAAUAAUAUAAUAUAAAUGCAGCAAUAGAAGAAUACCUCUAACGCUAAUCCAAUGUGCAGAAUUUUCACUAGGUGCCCAAGUGUUCACCCUCCAACAUUGAUCCACACGAAAACUUAAUUUAAGUCUUAAGCCCCAAAGACUUUGAUCCUUAAUGCAGAAUUCUUCUAAAGAACUCUAAUGGCUU
rnacentral:lncRNA from 1 species